CGGGUCAUUCACUCAUGCUAAUGCACUGCUGAGAGUAUAGGGGGCCUUGCAAAGUGCCCUCCGAAAAAAGUGCUGGGCUUUCAGUAGUCACUCAAUCUUUGAAAUUUGGUUGUGUCCGUCUUUUGUUUAAAUCGAAAAUGGAG
ensembl:ncRNA F26A10.12 ncRNA